rnacentral:rRNA from 1 species
UACAGAGGUCCCGAGCGUUGUUCGGAUUCACUGGGCGUAAAGGGUGCGUAGGUGGUUGGGUAAGUCUGAUGUGAAAUCUCCGGGCUCAACCCGGAAAUGGCAUUGGAUACUAUUCGGCUAGAGGUUUGGAGGGGGGACUGGAAUUCUCGGUGUAGCAGUGAAAUGCGUAGAUAUCGAGAGGAACACCAGUGGCGAAGGCGGGUCCCUGGACAACACCUGACACUGAGGCACGAAAGCUAGGGGAGCAAACAGG